AGAGCUACCUCUGGGACUGGUU
rnacentral:miRNA from 1 species